AUUGAACGCUGGCGGCAUGCUUUACACAUGCAAGUCGAACGGUAACAGGCCGCCAGGUGCUGACGAGUGGCGAACGGGUGAGUAAUGCAUCGGAACGUGCCCAGUCGUGGGGGAUAACUACUCGAAAGAGUAGCUAAUACCUCAUACGAUCUAUGGAUGAAAGCGGGGGACCGUAAGGCCUCGCGCGAUUGGAGCGGCCGAUGUCAGAUUAGGUAGUUGGUGGGGUAAAGGCUCACCAAGCCAACGAUCUGUAGCUGGUCUGAGAGGACGACCAGCCACACUGGGACUGAGACACGGCCCAGACUCCUACGGGAGGCAGCAGUGGGGAAUUUUGGACAAUGGGCGCAAGCCUGAUCCAGCAAUGCCGCGUGCAGGAAGAAGGCCUUCGGGUUGUAAACUGCUUUUGUACGGAACGAAACGGCUCUGGUUAAUACCCGGGGCUAAUGACGGUACCGGAAGAAUAAGCACCGGCUAACUACGUG
rnacentral:rRNA from 1 species